GCCGAAGUAGCCAAGCCUGGUCAACGGCGCGGGACUUAAGAUCCCGUCCCUUAGGGGUUCGUGGGUUCGAAUCCCACCUUCGGCA
rnacentral:tRNA from 1 species